UGGGGAAUUUUGGACAAUGGGCGAAAGCCUGAUCCAGCAAUGCCGCGUGUGUGAAGAAGGCCUUCGGGUUGUAAAGCACUUUUGUCCGGAAAGAGAUCCUUGGCUCUAAUACAGUCGGGGAUGACGGUACCGGAAGAAUAAGCACCGGCUAACUACGUGCCAGCAGCCGCGGUAAUACGUAGGGUGCAAGCGUUAAUCGGAAUUACUGGGCGUAAAGCGUGCGCAGGCGGUUUGCUAAGACCGAUGUGAAAUCCCCGGGCUCAACCUGGGAACUGCAUUGGUGACUGGCAGGCUAGAGUAUGGCAGAGGGGGGUAGAAUUCCACGUGUAGCAGUGAAAUGCGUAGAGAUGUGGAGGAAUACCGAUGGCGAAGGCAGCCCCCUGGGCCAAUACUGACGCUCAUGCACGAAAGCGUGGGGAGCAAACAGGAUUAGAUACCCUGGUAGUCCACGCCCUAAAACGAUGUCAACUAGUUGUUGGGGAUUCAUUUCCUUAGUAACGUAGCUAACGCGUGAAGUUGACCGCCUGGGGAGUACGGUCGCAAGAUUAAAAAGC
rnacentral:rRNA from 1 species